UAGGGAAUAUUGCGCAAUGGGGGAAACCCUGACGCAGCAACGCCGCGUGAGUGAGGAAGGCCUUCGGGUUGUAAAGCUCUGUCCUUGGAGAAAAAUGGUAUGAGUGUGAAUAAUGCUUAUAAUUGAUGGUAUCCAAGAAGAAAGCACCGGCAAACUUCGUGCCAGCAGCCGCGGUAAUACGAAGGGUGCAAGCGUUGUUCGGAUUUAUUGGGCGUAAAGCGCAUGUAGGCGGAUUAGCAAGUCAGGUGUGAAAUCUCGGAGCUUAACUUCGAAACAGCGCUUGAAACUACUAUUCUAGAAUACUAAAGAGGGAAGGGGAAUUUCUCAUGUAGGGGUAAAAUCCGUAGAGAUGAGAAGGAACAUCAGAGGCGAAGGCGCCUUCCUGGUUAGUUAUUGACGC
rnacentral:rRNA from 1 species